rnacentral:rRNA from 1 species
UACGUAGGGGGCUAGCGUUGUCCGGAUUUAUUGGGCGUAAAGAGCGUGUAGGCGGCCAGGUAGGUCUGCUGUGAAAACUCGAGGCUCAACCUCGAGACGUCGGCGGAAACCAUCUGGCUAGAGUCCGGAAGAGGAGAGUGGAAUUCCUGGUGUAGCGGUGAAAUGCGCAGAUAUCGUCUGGAACGCCAACGGUGAAAACAGACAGCUGGGAGUGUGCUGACGCUGAGACACGAAAGCCAGGGGAGCGAACGGG